GCCUGGGUGGCGGAAGUGGUAGACGCAAGGGACUUAAAAUUCCUCGUGGGCAACCACAUACCGGUUCGAUUCCGGUCCCAGGCACCA
rnacentral:tRNA from 1 species